AAAAAAUUUUUGUCUAAUAACUAAAAUUAGUAGAGGAAAAUAGAGUAUUUUUUCUGGUAUUAUUUUUUUUCCAUUUACAAACUAUCAUUUGCUUUCAAUAAGGCUCCAAGCCAAUAAAAGAAAGUUCUCCAGAAUAGGGCAUGUUUUGUUCUUUGAAUUUAUAUCUGUAGCACCUAGCACAAUGCCUACAGUAGGCCCUUAAUAAAUACUUGCUGAUUAACUGAUAUAUUAUAAAAUAAUUACAGUAUCUAAUUCCAGAGUUGUCAAAUUUAAAAGUCUGUCCUUCUCUAAAACUGCUAUCACAGGAAUUCAAUCCCUGUGUACAACAACUCUGAUAAUAGUCAUCUUUUUUCCAUCCAUUUUUACUAACUUAGGGGUUAGCCCUUGAGAAAGAACUAAAAAAUGUAGGAAAAAUUCAUAGGAACAGUCAAUGAGUCAAUAAAGAGUUAAUCAAUAACCUUUAAGAGUCAAUUAUAGAUGCCAGGCACUAUGCCGAGGAAUGGGUGUGAAGACAAAAGAAAGUUCCAUAAAACCUUGAAGGAAAGGACAAUAGAACCAUAGCAAAGGAAACCAAGAAUAAAGUUCACUGAUGGCAAGAAUUUGAACCCAAGAUUUGCCUAUGAAGAUUACAGCCCUUGUUUUCAAAAGGAUCUCUGGCAGACUCCAUUGGGGCAGGACAAUGAAGAAAAGCUCUGGAGGUUCAACCCACACCUGAACUGAAGAUAGAGUCAAAUAAAUACCUAAAGGAAAAAAUAAGUUUCA
rnacentral:lncRNA from 1 species